UGGGGGGUGAAGAUAGUCGCUUCCAUGUAGUGCCUCCUGGACAGGUUGUACGAAUGGAAAGAAACUUUCCGACACGUUUCGCUACAACCUGACUAAACGACUAUCAAGUUUAACAUCCAUAAAUGUGACAUUAUCGUGCCUAGAUUGACACAAAAACGAACCGGAUUUGACAUUAUAUUAGGCAAUGUUGCCUUGUUCAGUACCUGUGCCUGAAAGUGUCCAUGCAUUCCAGAGUGUCUUUUUUUUAUAAGCGUGUACAUAAUUUUUUUUAUUGGAGCAAAUGUGUUUGGCACUUUCAUCAAGCUUUAAAAGACAAGCUUGAUGUACCUGUUAAACGAGCUCAAGACGAUUAAGAAGAGUUUAGUUUUCGGCUUGUACCAUCACCAAGUGUUUUUCAAAUCAACAGGGAAGGUUUGAAAAACACAUUUAGGAAAGUGGUUCAAGAUGAAAAGUAAAUUCUUUCACCCCACAGGCAUUCUAAGGAACUUUCCUGAGAAAACAACACAUUAAAGAAUGCCAGACGCAAGACGAAGGUCUUAACGGUUAACCGACCGACUCCUUGAAGAUGACAAAAAUUGACGUACAUCAACCUUUUACAUAACUUUAACCGUGAAAAAGGUUGAAGUACAUAAUAUCACAGAAAUGACGGAAAAAUUGUGUGAAUUUUAAAUGUUUUUUGAAAGACAAAGAAGUCUUCCGAAUUAACACCGAAUCACUGAAGGCCUUCAAGAUCUAAAGUGAGAAGUUUUAAGGGGUGUUAUAACAUCUUUUAUAAUGAGGAAGAUAAUAAACCACACAAUUUAAAAGAA